UAGAAUCAUUAGAUUUAAUUAAACGGUGUUUCCUCUUCUAUUUAAACCAAAUGAAUAGUGGUUUUUCAAAGCCCAUUCGAUUUGUUCCUUUCACAUCAUGUCUUUUAAGAAAAAUUGUUCAGCUUCUUUAGGGUUUAGGGUUAAUGAUUGAUUUUUCAUUGUGAUACUGCUAUGAUUGGUUUGCACUACUAUUUUUCUCAAAUGGACACCCCCCUGUUCAUGAUACAAACAUGAAUUAAAGCAAUGCUAUUUUAAUUGUGUAGGGUUUUUUUUAUCAGAUCGUAAACAAUGUUUACAUUGUUCCUCUCUAGAUUUCAGAUUUUUUAUAAGGGAAGGUGUUAGACUCUCUGGUUUAGAGGACCAGAAACCUCCCAAGAAGAAGAGAAUUAAGAAAACUCAACAUAAUCCUAACGAAAUUGCGAAAACAAAACGCUAAUGGCAGACAAGCUAUGUAAGGAAUAAUGGCAGACAAGAUACGGAGGGAAGAUACUGUUGCCAACUCAACAGAUCCUGUUCUCAUCUCAGACAAAAUCUCUCAGACAAGCUACGUAGGGAAUAAUGGCAGACAAGAUACGAAGGGAAGAUACUGUUGCCAACUCAGCAGAUCCUGUUCUCAUCUCAGACAAAAUCUCUCAGGAUUUGAUGCUGAAAUUUUGUGGGAGUGAUGAUUCUGCUUUUGCUGACCUUGGCGAGAGAAUUGAUUUGAUCAAGAAUUUGGACGAAUUAACACUAGCUUAGAGGGCCUCAAUUGAAGAUGAAUUACAUGCUGCAAGUGCUAAGAUGUUGAAGAAGGUCAUCAAAAUUAAAAAGGAUCGAUGUACUUGAUUAUUGAAAGCCAAAUGUAUCUAAAGAAUUUUUUUUGUUAUUUCAUGUUUGUCUUUGUUUUGUGUUUGAUUUGAAUUUUGUAUUUCGAACUUGAUAUUCCUUGAACUUAAGUUCGAUGAAGUCAACUAAUCUUCUAAGGUAAAACCAAACUCUAUCCUUAUUUUAGUUGUCAUAAUAUGAUUUAUAAAAGAAUAAGAUAACAUAUGCCA